AUGUCAUCGGAUAGUGAGGAUGGUAGUGAUUGUUAUGAAGAAAGGAAGAAGAGGAUAUGCCACCAUGUUCAAUCAAUGUCCAACAUCUAUGCCGGUGCAUCAACACUUGUAGGGAAAUACUGUGACAACUAUUUGAUCAAGGCAAACCCAAGGACUUCUAUUCUAAGUUGGUUUGGAUGGCUGCGAGAGAAUGUGUCAACACCUGGAGAAACAUAUACCAUGUUGAGGAUGAACGCAUGCCUCUUCUUUCAAUUACAUGACUUGUUGGUCGAAAGGUAUGACUUCAAAUCAACCUGUUUUGUGAGCAGUUAUGAGGCGCUUGCAAUGUUCUUGUGGACAUUAGGGGGUUGCGAGUCUAAUAGGAGAACACAUAAUCGUUUCAAGCACCAGGAGAUACAGUCCACCGGAAGUUUCAUGAGGUUUUACUCUGUGUGA
rnacentral:rRNA from 1 species